UAAGUAUAGUUUAACCAAAAUAUUAGAUUGUGAUUCUAAAGACAGGAGUUAAAAUCUCCUUACUCACC
rnacentral:tRNA from 1 species